UGAGGAAUCUUGCGCAAUGGGGGAAACCCUGACGCAGCAACGCCGCGUGAGUGAGGAAGGUCUUCGGAUCGUAAAGCUCUGUCGGGUGGAAAGAAAUGUAUGGGGUUAAUAGCCUUCAUACUUGACGGUACCACCAAAGGAAGCACCGGCUAACUCCGUGCCAGCAGCCGCGGUAAUACGGGGGGUGCAAGCGUUGUUCGGAAUUAUUGGGCGUAAAGAGCGUGUAGGCGGCUUGGCAAGUCAGAUGUGAAAGCCCUGGGCUUAACCCAGGAAGUGCAUUUGAAACUGCCUAGCUUGAGUAGGGGAGAGGGAAGUGGAAUUCCUGGUGUAGAGGUGAAAUUCGUAGAUAUCAGGAGGAACACCGGUGGCGAAGGCGACUUCCUGGCCCUAUACUGACGCUGAGACGCGAGAGCGUGGGUAGCAAACAG
rnacentral:rRNA from 1 species